AACGAACGCUGGCGGCAGGCCUAACACAUGCAAGUCGAGCGAAGCCCUCGGGCUUAGCAGCGGACGGGUGAGUAACGCGUGGGAACGUGCGCUUUGCUACGGAAUAGCCCCGGGAAACUGGGCGUAAUACCGAAUGUGCCCUUCGGGCGAAAGAUUUAUCGGAAAAGGAUAGGCCCGCGUUGGAUUAGGUAGUUGGUGGGGUAAUGGCCUACCAAGCCGACGAUCCAGAGCUGGUUUGAGAGGAUGAUCAGCCACACUGGGACUGAGACACGGCCCAGACUCCUACGGGAGGCAGCAGUGGGGAAUCUUAGACAAUGGGGGAAACCCUGAUCUAGCCAUGCCGCGUGAUCGAUGAAGGCCUUAGGGUUGUAAAGAUCUUUCAGUGGGGAAGAUAAUGACUGUACCCACAGAAGAAGCCCCGGCUAACUCCGUGCCAGCCGCCGCCGUAAGAC
rnacentral:rRNA from 1 species